UAUUAAUUAUAAUUUGGUUGGAAAGCCCCAUUUGUAUGGAAUUGACAUGUUCCUUAGUCGUAAAGUCGUUUCUGCAAUUUUUUUCCUUUGAAGUCUUGUAGCAGCCGAGAGAUCUGGGUAUACUUGUAGUUCUACGAAUUUCAGUUCUUUAAUUGGAUUCUUCCUAAUUUUCUGUAGAAGAAGAUCUUUAAACUUACAGUUUACAAAUCUUAUGAUGACAAGAUCUCUAGGUUGAUCAGAUUUGAUGUGAGGAGGCUUCCGUAAUCUAUGGCAUCUUUCAAAAGGGAAGUUGCCCGUUUCUGAUGUCUAUAGAUAAAGCCAAAAAUUCCUUCAAAAAUACUUCCAUAUGUUCUUUUAUAUCUUCUGGGAUACCUUUGAUUCGGAUAUUAUUUUGCCACAUUCUGUCUUCAAUAUCUCUUAGAUUAUCUUCUAGUUUACUAUUAAGAUUUCUUAGUAGAGUAUUUUGUGUUUGAAGAGAUUGCCCUUUAAUUUGUGUUAUUGCUUGAGGUUCUUUUUUCUCCAUCAACGUUGACAUUUCUUUUUAAGAUCCAUUACACUCACGUCAGGGCCGUCUUUAAUUUUGAUUGGACCCUGGGAAAGCAUUUACUUGGUCCCCCUGACUACAUAUAGAUAGACACAAAUACACUACCUGACACACAUGCAGAUACACACUGACUGCAUAUAGAUACACACAAGAACAUACAGAUACACUGACACACACACAGAUACACAACCUUACACACAUGCAGAUACUCAGAUACAAACACUGACAUACAUGCAGAUACAAAAGGUACACACACUGACACAAAGAUACACAACCUGACACACAUGCAGAUAUACAGAUACAAACACUGACACAUACAGAUACACACUGACUAUAUACAGAUACACACACACACAAACACAAACGGACAACAUACAGAUACAGAGACACAUUCUGACAGACGUACUGACACAGAGACACACACUGACAGCCAUACUGAAACACACAUACACACACACACAGACAUACAGAACCACACAGACAGACAUACUGACACACUGAUAGACAUACUGGCACACAUACACUGACAGACAUACUGGCACAUAUACACACAGACAGACGGACAUACUGAAACACACAUACACUGACAGACAUAUUGACAAACACAGACACUGACAGACUCACACAUAGACAUACUGACACACUGACACAUACAGACAUUCUGGCACACAUACCCACAGACAGACAUACUGAAACACACAUACACACAUACAGACAUUUUGACACUCACAGAUAGCCAUACUGAAACACACAUACACACUGAACCACACAGACACACAGACAUACUGACACACUGUCAGUGUCUGUGUGGUUCAGUAUGUCUGUAUGUGUGCCGGUAUGUCUGUCAGUGUGUCAGUAUGUCUAUGUGUGAGUCUGUCAGUGUCUGUGUGGUUCAGUAUGUCUGUAUGUGUGCCGGUAUGUCUGUCAGACUCACACAUAGACAUACUGACACACUGACACACAUACAGACAUUUUGACACUCACAGAUAGCCAUACUGAAACAAACAUACACACAUACAAACUGAACCACACAGACACUGACAGACUCACACACACAGACAUACUGACACACUGACAGACAUACUGAACCACACAGACACUGACAGACUGACACAACAGAUACACUGACAGACAUACUGGCACACUAACAGACAUACACUGACAGACAUACACACAUACAUACAUACUUACACACACACUCAGACACUCAUGUAAAAUUUGCUAACCACCCUCCAGUUUCUUACCUCUUCCUGGAGGGUGGCUUCCCUGGGGUCCAGUGGGCUGGCUGGGAGUUAAGCUCUCCCAGCCUGGCCCCCUCCGGAACAGCUCCUUCCUCCCGCGCAGCUCCUGUUUCUGUGGGAGGAAGUGACGCGCGGCUGUCACUUCCUCCCAGUGCUGCCGAAAAGCAAGGGCCCAGUUGCGCUGUUAAAAUGCCACAGCGCCCGAACGGGCCCCUGCUGACACAGGCCCACCGGGUGGCCCUAAGUGCAUGGGCCUCCCAAUGGGCCCCCAUAGUUUGCGGACAGAGGGAAAACGGAGCAGCUGUCUUGGGACCCCCAGCAGCAGCUGUCUUGUUUGCCCCGCAUUAAAGACGGACCUGACUCUCGUUAAGAUCCAGCUUAAUUUAACUAUAGAGUUUUUCUAAAGACAUUUCCACAUUUUCUUGUGUUAUAACUAUUGGAACGUCCGCUGUUAAGGUAGCAGUAGGUAUUUGCUUGACCAAUGGGGUUUGUUGUGAUCUUUGCAUUCCAGGGGAUAAGGAUUUCCUUAGCAAUUCAUUACUGCUUUUUGGGGAGUAAAAUACAUGUAAAGUUUUAUUUUUUUUCGAUUUUAUCUCCAUUAGCCAAUUUUCUUUCCCUUUGCUUUCCUCUUUCCUUCCUUAUUUUCUUUUUUUACUUUCUAAUUAUGCCUUUCUCAUGUCUAGUUAGUAUUCUCUUUACUCCUUUCCUCCUAAAAUGGUUCAGUACUUAUUUUGUUGCUUUAAUUAUAAUUAUUUAUUUUUCAUUUUAUUUCUUCCUUUUUCCACCUUGGGUUGUCUACAUUUGAAAAUGGUAUGCCAUGAUGGGGUUAUUUUCCCAUUCAUGGGCUACCACAUGGUCUCAAAAGACAACACAGACCCAGCAAACCAAUCUGGCAAACUGAAUUGGGCAAGCCCUAUAUUGAACCUGUAACUUUCCAAAACACCAUAAAACCUGUACAUGGGGGUAUUGUUAUACUCAGAAGAUUUCGCUAAACACAAAUAUGAGUGUUUAAAACAGUAAAACUUAACACAACGAUAAAAUCAUCAGUAAAAGUGCAGUUUUUGUGUAAAAACAUGCAAAAAAACUAAUAAAAAACACUAACUUUGGAGAUGGAGAUGUUGCUGAACACAUUAAGAUGUUCUUUGUCAAUAACACAUAACAGGAACUGAGAAUCCAUGACUAAAGUACAAUGUGAGAGAGAUAUAACACACAAAAAAUUACUACCCAAAAGUUUGACAAAGACUGGUGGUAGAAUUAGUGCAUGGAAAGUGUUAAAAUACCACCAUUUGAAAUACCCUAGGGUGUCUACUUUUCAAAAAUAUAUGGUUUAAUGGGGGUAAAUUACAUUGGCCAGCUUCAAAAAUGUCCCAAAUAGGACAUGGGUGCAUGAUGACCAGCUGUGAAAAUUCCAAGUUGGAAAACUGGAAUGCGCACCAUCCAAAUAAGGUCUUUUAGCCCCCAGAGAACCCGACACACAUGUACAUGGGUGGUAUCACUGUACUCAGGAGAUAUUGAUGAACACAUAUUAGGGUGUUCUUUGGCAGUAACCCUUGAAGUUCACCGUACAUGUAUUAUUAAAUUGUCAUGUAUGUCCAAAAAAAUCACCAAUUAUUAUUAUUAUUUUUUUUACAUUUGGCAUAGAUUUGAGGUAAAAUGGUUGCAUAAAAAGAGUCAAAAAUACCCCAAGUUUAGUACCUUAGGUUUUCUGCUUUUAAAAAAUAUAUACAUGUGAAGGGUUAUUCAGGGAUUCCUGACAGAUAUCAGUGUUACAAUGUAACUUGCGUUAAUUCUGAAAAACAAAUGGUUUGGAAAUAGCAAAGUGAUACUUGUACUUAUUGCCCUAUAACUUGCAAAACAAAGCUAAGAACAUGUUAACAUUGGGUAUUUCUAAACUUAGGACAAAAUUUAGAAACUAUUUAGCACAGGUAUUUUUUUUCAGUUGGAGAUGCGUAACAGAUUUUAGGGGUCAAAUUAAAAAAUUUUCAUCAUAUUUUAUAAUUUUUUUUAUAGGAAAUUAUAUGAUAUGAUGAAAAAAAAAUGGUAGAAAGACCAUUUAAUGACGAGAAAAACGGUAUAAUAUGUGUGGGUACAGUAAAUGAGUAAGAGGAAAAUUACAGCUAAACACAAACACCACAGAAAUGUAAAAACAGCCCUGGUCCAAACGGUAAGAAAAUUGAAAAGUGGUCUGGUCACUAAGGGGUUAAACAUCAUCCAUGAAUCUUCCAUAUUAGCAGUCAUUUUUAAUUCUGGUGGAGGAUUUAUCUUUUCUAUCUUUAUGUUACUGACUGUUGAUUUAUUUUGUUGUGAAUUAUACAGUAUUAAUGUAUAAGACUGUAGUGCUCCUCUGUUUCUUUUGCGACUCCCGACCCGCCGCGUGCCGCAGCCGUGCCCGAUCGGCACGGCCUCGCCGACACCACGAGCUUACCUGCUCGUCGGUGAGCCGGGAACCGCUCCUCUGCCUUCUCUGGGCAUCACGCCCAAAUCAAAGAUGGCGCGGACAACGUAGUCGCCUCCGUCUUAAGCUCCGCCCCUCAAAUGAAUACAAACGUGCGCAUGACGUCACAACGUCAACGCACGUUCUGCGGUCAGAGGUCACCCUCUGACCAAUCAGAACCCAGAGAGGGAUAUUUAAAUCCCUAAUUCACUCUAGUUCCUUGCCCUGUCGUGGUUUCCUGUUCCUGGUUCCUGAGAGUGCGUUUAUUUUUGUGAAUCUGGCAUCCUGGUAUCCUGAUCUUGGCUUUUCCCUGGUUAUUUCAAUUCUGGUUCCCCUGACUUGGCUUGUUUAAGUAGUAUUUGAGUAUUUCUGGCUUCCUUGACCUCGGCUUUCCCUUUGACCAUUCUAUAUCUCUAGCGUAUUAGUCCGGCCAUUCUAAGGUCCGGUUUACGCUCUGUCCUUUUAUUUUCCUUUUCUUUUGUAUGUAUAUGUUUACAUAGUUUCUGCGUGUUGGACCACACUAGCAGCCGUGACAGUUUGGAUCGAAGGCAAUCAUGAGAAGCUGCUAUAGUCACCCUGCCAGAACUUUGGCUCACACUCUAUUCUGCAAAAAUGUCUUAUGGAUUCUUUAGAGUCUGACUCUUUGCAUGUCAGUUCAGAUGGAAGCAGCAUACUUAUUCUGACACCAUGUUUUAUCUUGUUUAUAUAAAGAGAUCAAGCACAUGCCUUCAUAUCUGUAAACUUUAUUAAGAAUGGCCACCCACACUCCCACAAAGAGCCACUUCCUGACUGUACAUUGCGCACAUAACAGGUUAGAUAUAGUUUAUACAAGGUGCAGUAAGUGGAACAAAUGAGAGAUAAUAUUUGCAGAAAGGACAAAAAAGUCUCUGAAAAUGCAAGGUGGACCUUGGAUAGGUAUUCUUUGGUUCUUGAUUGAGUAAAUAUAUAGAGCUAUGCCCAGCUCUAGGUAAAACGGCAUACAGUGGUAUUUGAAACUCCCCACGUGUAGGAUAUGGCUGGACAAUAGGAGGUGAUUCUUCAAUACUUCUUUCAAAGUCUCAAGUACACGUCAGUAUAUAAAAUACAUAAAAAUAAGGGAAAAAACCCAAUGGUGCAAUAACGUAUGACACCUACAGCUACAAACAAACACUUAGGUCCUAAGAGUGCCAACUUAAAAUAAAGAGAGCUAUAACCAGCUCUGGGUAAAACAGCAUACAGUGGGUAUUUAAACUCCCCACAUGUAGGAUAUCCUUCUGGUGAUGUUUGUAAUGCAGGAUUGAUUAAGUGCAGGUAGAUUAAAUUUCUGUUUCCAAACUCCAACAGGCAAGAUCAGUAAAUAAUCCUCAGUACACUGAUAUGAGUUCAGUAAACAUUGCAUUUUGUCUCUGAAAAGACAGUUCUUACUGCAAAAAGCCUGAAGGGAAUGAAUCUACUCACCAGAAAAAAUACAAUUACAUGAUUUGCUAUUUCAUGGCAGAAAGUCAUGAUUUUAUGAAAGACACAGAGGCGAGUAUUGUGCAUAUCUCCUUCUUUACGUAACAUACAGCAGCAAAGAGAAACCAAUGAGAAAAAAAGGAUGGUAACAUGUGACCUCCCAAACUCCACCCCCUCAUGAGCAGCCAUCCCUAUAAUCCAGGAUCACACCCUUCAACUUCCUCUUUCUUUGGUGAAUCAACAGUCCAACAAUAACAGAUCAGCAACCAACCAGUAGUUACCAGGAAUCAGAACUGCAGCAACCAAUAUCUCCAACAAUGAGAAGAGCGGCAGUCCAAUUCUUAAGGAAGAAUGCACUGAGGCGAGCAAGAACCAACAGCUCAAGCCUAGGGAACAUCAAGCUGGAAAACAUAAAAGACAGGAUGUAGCCCCGGUCAGACAUCACGGAGACAACUUAUAGUACAACAUUAAGUAGACAGGGAUUACAAACCGUAAAAUCAAGGAAGCAUGCCAGAGCAAUACAAAAACCCAACCAUACUGUAUAAAUAGAAAUGACAAUGCUAAACUAUAUGGUACAAACCUGACGGAGGAUAUAGCCACCUAAGAACGGGAAGAAAAGUUACUGCAAUGAAGCAUAAAAUCCAACUAGACACGAGGGAGGAAGAAUGCAGCUACAGCAAACAGGGUGGGACAAUACUUGCCUUCGUGUCUUUCAUAAAAUCAUGAAUUUUCAUCAUGAAAUAGCAAAAUCAUGUGAUUUUAUUUCAAGACACGGAGGCUCAUAUUGUGCAAGUUCAAAGCUGUACCACCACAGGCGAGAAAACGUGGGAUAUAAGCUUGAAGUAAAACUCGUGAAAGGUGGACUCCUGAUGAUCGCAUCAAAUUCUCGAGUCGACCCCCCAGGGACACUACCUUUGAUGCAGAUGCCCCGCGAACGGAGUGGGCACCGAAACGGGAUACAUCGACCCUCGCAGAGGACAAAAUCCAUUUGACCCAUCGGGUCAGAGUGGAGCUAGAUACAGGAUAAAGGGGUGUCGCAAGGCGAGGAACAAGUGAAAAAUCCGGUAGGAAGCGGUUUUGCGUUCGUACUCCCGAAGGCAAGAAACCGGGCAUAAGUGUGGUCAGUUGGGAAGUGCCGGGUAAACCACUGACCGACAGAAGGACUUAGUUUGUUGAGAAAUAUUGAACACCAUGCAAAUCGGGGUGAAAACGCGCGCGUCCGAGUCCAGAGCCCUGACGUCGGAAACCCGUUUGCAAGACACUAGGCAAAACAGAGUAAGCAGUUUAGCCGACAACUACCGAAGCAAGAGAUUUGCAUUCAAAGGCCAGGACUCAAACAACGUGAGGACGCAAGACAUGUCCCAAGUGCAGCUGUUUCUAACAGUAUAUUAGAGGCAGCCAAAUAUCCCAAACCUGUGAUAUCAGGUGACACGAAAGGUGUAGGGUACAAAUGUUUUCUACUAUAUGGAAGAUUAUGGAGAACAAGCAGUUUCGUUAAAGCAUUGUCUUCGCCAAGAUGUUGUGACAUAGUGGAACUCACCUUUGGAGUUGAUGUAAUGUAUCCAUACGCAGCAGACAGCGAUACAUGUAUCCAUACGCAGCAGACAGCGAUACAUUACUUAUCAUCAGAGAUGUGUGUAGGAGUGACAUGUCCACUGGGGAAAGAGGAAUUAGGAGCUAUAAGUCAGAUAUUGGUAGUCCUUAAACCUUUCAAGGACAAUUUAAAGGACCACUAUAGUGCCAGGAAAACAUACUCGUUUUCCUGGCACUUUAGUGCCCUGAGGGUGCCCCACCCUCAGGGUCCCCCUCCCGCCCGGCUCUGGAAGGGGGAAAGGGGGAUUUUCACAGUGAGAAUCACGCAAGCGCCUCUAGCGGCUGUCAAUGAGACAGCCGCUAGAGGCUUUGGGGGAAGGUUUUCUCUGAAACUGCUAUGUUUAUAAAAGAAUGGGUUAACCCUAGCUGGACCUGGCACCCAGACCACUUCAUUAAGCUGAAGUGGUCUGGGUGCCUAGAGUGGUCCUUUAAGUCAAGCCACAGCACGCCUUAGUGAUUACAUUACAGCACCUUUAGAGCUGUAAUAUUAAACCUGGAGAGGGUACAUCCAGAAGUGGCAUGAGGUUGAAGGAAGAAUUGAAAGGUUGCAUGUGUAAAAUUAUAGACACCGCUCCAGAGUUAAUGCUGGCCACAAUUUGUGACCCAAAAAUAAUGGGAAAUAUGGUUGUGAUGAGUGAUAUAUGGGAUGCCUAUAUGGAAUAACAGAUUACUUAAUAAAGUGCAUGUAAUUGAGAAAAGAGGGUAUUAUAAAUGAGGGAUGGCAGGAGUUGAAACAGCACAUAGGGGUGAAACCUCUUGCAGCAGUGGAAGCACAGUUGCUCAGCAAAGAUCAUCCUCCUUGGAGGGUCCAUGGUACUACAUGCAAAGACAGAAUGGAGCAGCAGACAUUUGGGACAAGGCCCUUACUCUGGUGGGAACCAGUGAAGCCACAUCAUCCCUGAGUGGCAUCUCUAAUACAG
rnacentral:lncRNA from 1 species